rnacentral:rRNA from 1 species
AGUGAACGCUGGCGGUAGGCCUAACACAUGCAAGUCGAACGGCAGCACAGUAAGAGCUUGCUCUUACGGGUGGCGAGUGGCGGACGGGUGAGGAAUACAUCGGAAUCUACUUUUUCGUGGGGGAUAACGUAGGGAAACUUACGCUAAUACCGCAUACGACCUACGGGUGAAAGCAGGGGAUCUUCGGACCUUGCGCGAUUGAAUGAGCCGAUGUCGGAUUAGCUAGUUGGCGGGGUAAAGGCCCACCAAGGCGCCGAUCCGUAGCUGGUCUGAGAGGAUGAUCAGCCACACUGGAAGUGAGACACGGUCCAGACUCCUACGGGAGGCAGCAGUGGGGAAUAUUGGACAAAGGGGGCAAGGCUGAUCCAGCCAUACCGCGUGGGUGAAGAAGGCCUUCGGGUUGUAAAGCCCUUUUGUUGGGAAAGAAAAGCAGCAGGUUAAUACCCCGCUGUUCUGACGGUACCCAAAGAAUAAGCACCGGCUAACUUCGUG